GAUGCCUGUACCAGCUGCACUGACUGCCAGGUGCACAGUGAUGUCCUCUCUGGUGGUGAUCUGCUGGCGGUAAACAUGCCUCCUCCCCUUCUGACAGACCACCCGCUCCUUGGACUUUGGCUUGUCCCCGAAGCCGGACUCGUCACAAUUCCAGAUCUGACCAGGUGUGGCCGCGAGGACCCUGGCCUGAUUGAGGGAGUCUGGUGUCCAGGAGGUCAGCUCUAGAUGGCGGGUUUUAAAUCUGGACCACCAGUUGUCACUGAGUCCCUUCUCGAUGUUUACCAGUGUCUCCCGGCCACUGUCCUUAAUUAUUUCUAAGGCCAGGCAUUUUAUAACAGACCUGGUCAGGGGGAAGCCAUGGUCAGCCAUCCAGGUAAUAUAAUUAACAAGGGCCUUUUCCUCCUCCUGGUUAAUGGCCCUGUUUGGAUGAGGACCACAUUCAAAUCUGCCGAGCUUGUGAUCUGCAAAUGUAGACUUGGCAUGGGAGAGAGAGAGGCCAGACACACGCCGGGCAGAGGCCAGCGAGCCACAUGAUCG